rnacentral:snRNA from 1 species
GUGCUUGCUUUGCAGCACAUAUGCUAAAAUUGGAACCAUAUAGAGAAGAUUAGCAUGGCCCCUGCACAAGGAUGACAUGCAAAUUCAUGAAGCAUUCCAUAUUUUG